GUCGUUAGGGGGUCUGAAAAGUCAUUGAAUCUAACAACAAAGUUGCUAGGUUUGCAACUACGUGUCCCAGACUGCAUCCCUGCUGAGAGUCCCUCCCUCCCUUCUCAUAUUGCAGGAAGAACGUAAGCGCCCGCCCCUUGUCAAUCAGUCACCAUAUAAUUUUGGAUUGGUUGUUGUGGUGAAGUUUUCCACCAAUAGGAGAGAUGUUGUGGUGUGUUUUUUUUUUCCUUUGGCAAGCCUUUUCCGCCUGUAAGACCUGUCGCUAAUGUCUGCAUGCUAUGUUUUCCUGUCUCAUACAGCGCGAUCGAGCGCCGAACGUGAUCAAAAUAAGCAGAAAACAAGUAUCGCGGACAUAAUUUAUCAUAACUCUGGUUUUAUUUGGCCUAUCAACACAAUUUAAAAACUGGUAUAUAGGUUGAGGUCCUCACUUUUGAGAUAAGUUGAAACGGAGAGUCAACGAGGCUCCGUCUUGCAGCUACAUCCGGUUAAAUAUGUCAUGUGACUUGAACGCACACACACACACAGACACACACACACACACAGACACACACACACACACGCACACACACACACUCAGAGUCUGGUUUUUAGCACCUGCAAAAACAUGCUAUUUACAUAUUUGACAAGAAUGCAGAGGCUCCUUUUGCCCCUGAAAAAAAUCAAAUUUCAAACACAACUUGACUGGUCAUUUCUCCAAAAGACAACCAUGAAGCUCCAUCCAAACCUGAAGCAGGCAGUUGGUGCAUGUGUACAGUAACCUGAGGGGAGUGAGGUGACUGCUUCUGAGGAGAACAUGAGCAGUGAAGAUUCACCUUACAGCUAGAACAGAGACGUGCACAUGAUUAUACAGGGGCAGGGGCUCAAGUUUUUUCCAGUUGUUUAUACAAUAUGGAAAUUAAUGUGAAAUUAAAAAACAAAGUAUUAAUAGAAAGGUAAUGACUGUCCUGUGUAGGUGACAGUGAUAUCCAAUAGGCUAGGCACUCACGAGGCUGGCUGUGGCAAGUGUAAGUGAAAGCAACACGCACUGGAAGGAAGAACAGCAAACGCCGAUGAAGGAAAAGGGUCUUUGCAGUGAUGGGCGUUACCAGAGAGGGCGAUGGCCAGAGGACACAAAUGGGACGGGGAGGCAGCGCGUUGGGGGGGGGAUGCGACACAGCUCGGGCCCGCCAGUGCCCCAACGGGGUCCUAGUUUUUUCUUUUUCCUCCCCUUUGAACUGGAAAAUGGCCCACUUCCCACUGGCGAAAACUCAUGAAAUUUGGCAGGACGACCGGGCCUGGUGAAAAGUUUGAUAUUCUGAAGUCGCCCAAACAAUACAAUGCAAAAUGGCUCCAUAGCGCCCCCUAAGGUGAAAAAUUCACCUGACGCCUGUACGCUUUGUCAAAAUGACACAAAAAUUGACACACACAUGUAUCUCAAUAAGAUCUACAAAAAAGUCAGUGCGGGCGUAUCUGUCAAAUGUACGGUUAAAGGGUUAUUGCGCAUUUUUUGCCGAUCCGCACACAUUGGAAUUUCGCUAACUCCUCCGAAGGCUUUCGUUCCACCGGCACCACAUUUGCUCAGGCCAAUCUACACCCCAUGGCCAUUAAAAGUUAUUCAAAUCAUGACGCUGCACCCCACGGUUUAGGUUCUAGGGGGCGCCAAAGAUAACCCUAAAAUCCACAUAUUUCAAAGUCUUAUAACUUUUUAUUUUUGCCCUCACUGGCCUCCAAGUUUUCUAGGAUGAUGCAAUGUCCAGCCAUCAACACAUUUGUGAAGGAAUUUUUACUCCCCAAAAGAGCGCCCCCCCAUGGCAGGAGAAAAAAGUCCAUUUUUUCUUGUCCCAUAAGGUGAAAAUUCACACUAUUGACUGUCACGCCUGUACGCUUUGUCAUAUUGACACAAAAUAUGACACACACAUGUAUCUCAAUAAGAUCUACAAAAAAGUCAGUGCUGGCGUAUCUGUCAAAUGUACGGUUAAAGGGUUAUUGCGCAUUUUUUGCCGAUCCGCACACAUUGGAAUUUCGCUAACUCCUCCGAAGGCUUUCGUUCCACCGGCACCACAUUUGCUCAGGCCAAUCUACACCCCAUGGCCAUUAAAAGUUAUUCAAAUCAUGACGCUGCACCCCACGGUUUAGGUUCUAGGGGGCGCCAAAGAUAACCGUAAAAUCCACAUAUUUAAAAGUCUUAUAACUUUUUAUUUUUGUCCUCACUGGCCUCCAAGUUUUCUAGGAUGAUGCAAUGUCCAGCCAUCAACACAUUUGUGAAGGAAUUUUUACUCCCCAAAAGAGCGCCCCCCCAUGGCAGGAGAAAAAAGUCCAUUUUUUCUUGUCCCAUAAGGUGAAAAAACACAUUGUUGACUGUCAUACCUGUACGCUUUGUCAUAUUGACACAAAAUUUUACAAUCACAUGUAUCUCAAUAAUAUCUACGAAAAGGUCAAUGCGCGCGUAUCUGUAAAAUGUACGGUUAAAGGGCUAUUUUGCAUUUUUUGCCGAUUCGCACACAUUGGAAUGUGGCUAACUCCUCCUAAGGCUUUCGUCCCACUGACACCAAAUUUGCUCAGGCCAAUCUACACCCCAUGGCCAUUCAAAGUUGUAAAAAUCAUGACGCUGCACCCCACGGUUUACGUUCUAGGGGGCGCCAAAGAUGACCCAAAUAUCCACAUUCUUAAAAGAAUCCACAUCCCCCCCCCAUCCCCCAUCCCCCAUGGCAGGAGAAACAGUCAAGUUUUUCCUGCCCAUCACUCAAUGGCUCAAUCGCAUCACUCUCCCGGCAACACCGUAACGAGGAGCAACCUGCCGUUUGGAUAUAUCCUAGCUGUGUUUGUGCCCUCACUCAUGGUCCAGACUUUUUUCAAAUAGGACAUGUAGUUCGUCUGCAGCGAGUGUUUUGGUAGAAACUGCGCCUCCCAUUCAUUAUAAUGGGAAAUGACCAAUGACAAGUGCGCACACCAUCUUUGGACCUUGAGUGUGACGCGAUCGGGAGGGGGAGGCGGUCGCGCUGGGGGCGGCGCGACGCGGCUCGGGCCCGACAGUGCCCCACCGGGGUCCUAGUUAUUAUUAGGGCCCGAGCCAGCUGCAGAGCAGCCGGGCGUAGGCCCUAUUAUUCCCCAAGUGGUUUUUUAGGGCCCGAGCGUAGCUGCUAAGCAGCUGCGAGAGCCCUCUUGUUCCUGUAGUUUCCUUCUUUUGUUAUUAUUAUUUUUCCUCCCCUUUGAACUGGAAAAUGGCCCACUUCCCACUGGCGAAAACUCAUGAAAUUUGGCAGGACGACCGGGCCUGGUGAAAAAUUUGAUAUUCCGAAGUCGCCCAAACAAGAAAAUGCAAAAUGGCUCCAUAGCGCCCCCUAAGGUGAAAAUUCACACUAUUCACUGUCACGCCUGUACGCUUUGUCAAAAUGACACAAAAAUUGACACACACAUGUAUCUCAAUAAGAUCUACAAAAAAGUCAGUGCGGACGUAUCUGUCAAAUGUACGGUUAAAGGGUUAUUUCGCAUUUUUUGCCGAUCCGCACACAUUGGAAUUUCGCUAACUCCUCCGAAGGCUUUCGUUCCACCGGCACCACAUUUACUCAGGCCAAUCUACACCCCAUGGCCAUUAAAAGUUAUUCAAAUCAUGACGCUGCACCCCACGGUUUAGGUUCUAGGGGGCGCCAAAGAUAACCCAAAAAUCCACAUUCUUAAAUGUUUUAUAACUUUUUAUUUUUGUCCUCACUGGCCUCCAAGUUUUCUAGGAUGAUGCAAUGUCCAGCCAUCAACACAUUUGUGAAGGAAUUUUUACUCCCCAAAAGAGCGCCCCCCCAUGGUAGGAGAAAAAAGUCAAUUUUUUCUUGUCCCCUUACAUAAAAAUACACAUUGUUGAGUGUCACGCCUGAACGCUUUGUCAAAAUGACACAAAAAUUGACAAUCAUGUGUAUCUCAAUUAGAUCUACGAAAAAGUCAAAGAGCGCGUAUCUGUAUAAUGUACGGUUAAAGGGCUAUUUCGCAUUUUUUGCCGAUUCGCACACAUUGGAAUGUGGCUAUCUUCUCCUAAGGCUUUCGUCCCACCGAUACCAAAUUUGCUCAGGGCAAUCUACACCCCAUGCCCAUUCAAAGUUGUAAAAAUCAUGACGCUGCACCCCACGGUUUACGUUCUAGGGGACGCCAAAGAUGACCCAAAAAUCCACAUUCUUAAAAGUCAUUUUGGCCACUGCAGGAGUACAGAGUACUGCAGUUCUAGGGGGCGCCAAAGAUGACCCAAAAAUCCACAUUCUUAAAAGUCUUUUUGGCCACUGCAGGAGUACAGAGUACUGCAGGAUACACACACAUAUACACACACACACACACACACACACACACACACACACACACACACACACACACACACACACUCAGAGUCUGUUUUUUAGCACCUGCAAAAACAUGCUGUUUACAUAUUUGACAAGAAUGCAGAGGCUUCCUUUUGCCCCUGAAAAAAAUCAGAUUUCAAACACAACUUGACUGUUCAUUUCUCCAAAAGACAACCAUGAAGCUCCAUCCAAACCUGAAGCAGAUAGUUGGUGCAUGUGUACAGUAACCUGAGGGGAGUGAGGUGACUAUUUCUGAGGAGAACAUGAGCAGUGAAGAUUCACCUUGGAGCUAGAGCAGGGACGUGCACAUGAUUAUACAGGGGCAGGGGCUCAAGUUUUUUCCAGUCAUUUAUACAAUAUGGAAAUUAAUGUGAAAUUAAACCACAAAUAUGUGUGAUGAACUGUUUUUAAAACUUAAACUUCAAAUAAAAAUUGUAAACUUCAAAACAUAUGCAAAUUUUUAACAAAGAACAUAGUAAUUUACCUCUAUUUACAUCAAAAUGCAGGCAAUGGCCCAGGCGUUCUUUGUAAAAUUUUUUACAAAACACUGUAUAGUCUCACAAAUGUCACUUUUUAUUUAUGCCACUACAAAAAAACAUGAUGUAAAUGAUGCAUGAUGUAAAACAUGAUGUAAAAAACUUGUGUAGAUCCUCCUCUAUGUCAGUCCAUGUGUAAUUUUUCCAUAAUUCUUUGUUUUUUGCAGCAUUUUUGUUAGUGUAACUGCAGAUUGUGCUGACAGUGUCUAUGGCACAAAAAAAAAAAAAAUUAAAAUGCCUCAACAUGAACCCCUGGUGGUCUCUGAGGGUGAAACCUGCUAACUGCUGCAGCUCUGUCAGCUUCAGUCUCCCAUGCAGAGCUCUGAGCGCAUGUGUGGCUCUGCACCCUUAGCAGCGUUGCUAACUCCUCAGUAAGGAAAGCCUGCUUCAUGUCAGAGUCUCUAAACUCCAGAAGAAGUCGAUAAAAGUCCCUUUCUUUCUAAAAAAAAGUCGUUAGGGGGUCUGAAAAGUCAUUGAAUCUAACAACAAAGUCGCUAGGUUUGCAACUACGUGUCCCAGACUGCAUCCCUGCUGAGAGUCCCUCCCUCGCUUCUCAUGUUGCAGGAAGAACGUAAGCGCCCGCCCCUUGUCAAUCAGUCACCAUAUAAUUUUGGAUUGGUUGUUGUGGUGAAGUUUUCCACCAAUAGGAGAGAUGUUGUGGUGUGUUUUUUUUUUUCUUUUGGCAAGCCUUUUCCGCCUGUAAGACCUGUCGCUAAUGUCUGCAUGCUAUGUUUUCCUGUCUCAUACAGCGCGAUUGAGCGCCGAACGUGAUCAAAAUAAGCAGAAAAAAAGUAUCGCGGACAUAAUUUAUCAUAACUCUGGUUUUAUUUGGCCUAUCAACACAAUUUAAAAACUGGUAUAUAGGUUGAGGUCCUCACUUUUGAGAUAAGUUGAAACGGAGAGUCAACGAGGCUCCGUCUUGCAGCUACAUCCGGUUAAAUAUGUCAUGUGACUUGAACGCACACACAGACACACACACACACACACACACACACACACACACACACACACACACACACUCAGAGUCUGGUUUUUAGCACCUGCAAAAACAUGCUAUUUACAUAUUUGACAAGAAUGCAGAGGCUCCUUUUGCCCCUGAAAAAAAUCAAAUUUCAAACACAACUUGACUGGUCAUUUCUCCAAAAGACAACCAUGAAGCUCCAUCCAAACCUGAAGCAGGCAGUUGGUGCAUGUGUACAGUAACCUGAGGGGAGUGAGGUGAGUGCUUCUGAGGAGAACAUGAGCAGUGAAGAUUCACCUUGGAGCUAGAACAGAGACAUGCACAUGAUUAUACAGGGGCAGGGGCUCAAGUUUUUUCCAGUCGUUUAUACAAUAUGGAAAUUAAUGUGAAAUUAAAACACAAAGUAUUAAUAGAAAGGUAAUGACUGUCCUGUGUAGGUGACAGUGAUAUCCAAUAGGCUAGGCACUCACGAGGCUGGCUGUGGCAAGUGUAAGUGAAAGCAACACGCACUGGCAGGAAGAACAGCAAACGCCGAUGAAGGAAAAGGGUCUUUGCAGUGAUGGGCGUUACAAGAGAGGGCGAUGGCCAGAGGACACAAACGGGACGGGGAGGCAGCACGUUGGGGGGGGGGCCACACGGCUCGGGCCCGCCAGUGCCCCAACGGGGUCCUAGUUGUUUCUUUCUUUCUUCUUUUUCCUCCCCUUUGAACUGGAAAAUGGCCCACUUCCCACUGGCGAAAACUCAGGAAAUUUGGCAGGACGACCGGGCCUGGUGAAAAAUUUGAUAUUCCGAAGUCGCCCAAACAAGAAAAUGCAAAAUGGCUCCAUAGCGCCCCCUAAGGUGAAAAUUCACACUAUUGACUGUCACGCCUGUACGCUUUGUCAAAAUGACACAAAAAUUGACACACACAUGUAUCUCAAUAAGAUCUACAAAAAAGUCAGUGCGGGCGUAUCUGUCAAAUGUACGGUUAAUGGGUUAUUUUGCAUUUUUUGCAGAUCUGCACACAUUGGAAUUUCGCUAACUCCUCCGAAGGCUUUCGUUCCACCGGCACCACAUUUGCUCAGGCCAAUCUACACCCCAUGGCCAUUAAAAGUUAUUCAAAUCAUGACGCUGCACCCCACGGUUUAUGUUCUAGGGGGCGCCAAAGAUAACCCUAAAAUCCACAUUUUUAAAAGUCUUAUAACUUUUUAUUUUUGCCCUCACUGGCCUCCAAGUUUUCUAGGAUGAUGCAAUGUCCAGCCAUCAACACAUUUGUGAAGGAAUUUUUACUCCCCAAAAGAGCGCCCCCCCAUGGCAGGAGAAAAAAGUCCAUUUUUUUCUUGUCCCCUAAGUUGAAAAUACACAUUGUUGACUGUCACGCCUGUACGCUUUGUCAAAAUGACACAAAAAUUGACACACACAUGUAUCUCAAUAAGAUCUACAAAAAAGUCCAUGCGCGCGUAUCUGUCAAAUGUACGGUUAAAGGGUUAUUCCGCAUUUUUUGCCGAUUCGCACACAUUGGAAUUUCGCUAACUCCUCCAAAGGCUUUCGUUCCACCGGCACCACAUUUGCUCAGGCCAAUCUACACCCCAUGGCCAUUAAAAGUUAUUCAAAUCAUGACGCUGCACCCCACGGUUUACGUUCUAGGGGGCGCCAAAGAUAACCCAAAAAUCCACAUUUUUAAAAGUCUUAUAACUUUUUAUUUUUGUCCUCACUGGCCUCCAAGUUUUCUAGGAUGAUGCAAUGUCCAGCCAUCAACACAUUUGUGAAGGAAUUUUUACUCCCCAAAAGAGCGCCCCCCCAUGGCAGGAGAAAAAAGUCCAUUUUUUUCUUGUCCCCUAAGUUGAAAAUACACAUUGUUGACUGUCACGCCUGUACGCUUUGUCAAAAUGACACAAAAAUUGACACACACAUGUAUCUCAAUAAGAUCUACAAAAAAGUCCAUGCGCACGUAUCUGUCAAAUGUACGGUUAAAGGGUUAUUCCGUAUUUUUUGCCGAUUCGCACACAUUGGAAUUUCGCUAACUCCUCCAAAGGCUUUCGUUCCACCGGCACCACAUUUGCUCAGGCCAAUCUACACCCCAUGGCCAUUAAAAGUUAUUCAAAUCAUGACGCUGCACCCCACGGUUUACGUUCUAGGGGGCGCCAAAGAUAACCCAAAAAUCCACAUUUUUAAAAGUCUUAUAACUUUUUAUUUUUGUCCUCACUGGCCUCCAAGUUUUCUAGGAUGAUGCAAUGUCCAGCCAUCAACACAUUUGUGAAGGAAUUUUUACUCCCCAAAAGAGCGCCCCCCCAUGGCAGGAGAAAAAAGUCCAUUUUUUCUUGUCCCCUAAGUUGAAAAUACACAUUGUUGACUGUCACGCCUGUACGCUUUGGCAAAAUGACACAAAAAUUGACAAUCAAGUGUAUCUCAAUUAGAUCUACGAAAAAGUCAAAGAGCGCGUAUCUGUAUAAUGUACGGUAAAAGGGCUAUUUUGCAUUUUUUGCCGAUUCGCACACAUUGGAAUUUCGCUAACUCCUCCUAAGGCUUUCGUCCCACUGACACCAAAUUUGCUCAGGCCAAUCUACACUCCAUGGCCAUUCAAAGUUGUAAAAAUCAUGACGCUGCACCCCACGGUUUACGUUUUAGGGGGCGCCAAAGAUGACCCAAAUAUACAUUACAGUAGACAAAGUAGUUUUGCCCACUGAGUGGCGCCAAAGGGACUUGUCUGUGGAGUCUGUGAGUCACUAUUGGCCGUUUUUGACUACUUUAGAUUUUACCUUUAUAUUUCCUCUUACAAAAUUUUUACCUUGCCUUGCCUGGUAUCAUUUUUUUCAGCACAACCUCACCUGUGUCAAUUUACAGUUAUUUUAUCAUUUUGACAUACUAUAUUUACACAUUGGACCCAAAUUCACACACAAAACAUAAAAUCCGAGUGGAAAAAAGUAACGUUUUUACUGUGAAAACCACAAAUAUGUGUGAUGAACUGUUUUUAAAACUUAAACUUCAAAUAAAAAUUGUAAACUUCAAAACAUAUGCAAAUUUUUAACAAAGAACAUAGUAAUUUACCUCUAUUUACAUCAAAAUGCAGGCAAUGGCCCAGGUGUUCUUUGUAAAAUUAUUUACAAAACACUGUAAAGUCUCACAAAUGUCACUUUUUAUUUAUGCCACUACAAAAAAACAUGAUGUAAAUGAUGCAUGAUGUAAAACAUGAUGUAAAAAACUUGUGUAGAUCCUCCUCUAUGUUAGUCCAUGUGUAAUUUUUCCAUAAUUCUUUGUUUUUUGCAGCAUUUUUGUUAGUGUAACUGCAGAUUGUGCUGACAGUGUCUAUGGCAAAAAAAAAAAAAAAACUGAAAAUGCCUCAACAUGAACCCCUGGUGGUCUCUGAGGGUGAAACCUGCUAACUGCUGCAGCUCUGUCAGCUUCAGUCUCCCAUGCAGAGCUCGGAGCGCAUGUGUGGCUCUGCACCCUUAGCAGCGUUGCUAACUCCUCAGUAAGGAAAGCCUGCUUCAUGUCAGAGUCUCUAAACUCCAGAAGAAGUCGAUAAAAGUCCCUUUCUUUCUAAAAAAAAGUCGUUAGGGGGUCUGAAAAGUCAUUGAAUCUAACAACAAAGUCGCUAGGUUUGCAACUACGUGUCCCAGACUGCAUCCCUGCUGAGAGUCCCUCCCUCCCUUCUCAUAUUGCAGGAAGAACGUAAGUUCCCGCCCCUUGUCAAUCAGUCACCAUAUAAUUUUGGAUUGGUUGUUGUGGUGAAGUUUUCCACCAAUAGGAGAGAUGUUGUGGUGUGUUUUUUUUUUUCUUUGGCAAGCCUUUUCCGCCUGUAAGACCUGUCGCUAAUGUUUGCAUGCUAUGUUUUCCUGUCUCAUACAGCGCGAUCGAGCGCCGAACGUGAUCAAAAUAAGCAGAAAACAAGUAUUGUGGACAUAAUUUAUCAUAACUCUGGUUUUAUUUGGCCUAUCAACACAAUUUAAAAACUGGUAUAUAGGUUGAGGUCCUCACUUUUGAGAUAAAUUGAAACGGAGAGUCAACGAGGCUCCGUCUUGCAGCUACAUCCGGUUAAAUAUGUCAUGUGACUUGAACGCACACACACACACACACACACACACACACACACACACACACACACACACACACGCACACACACACACUCAGAGUCUGGUUUUUAGCACCUGCAAAAACAUGCUAUUUACAUAUUUGACAAGAAUGCAGAGGCUCCUUUUGCCCCUGAAAAAAAUCAAAUUUCAAACACAACUUGACUGGUCAUUUCUCCAAAAGACAACCAUGAAGCUCCAUCCAAACCUGAAGCAGGCAGUUGGUGCAUGUGUACAGUAACCUGAGGGGAGUGAGGUGACUGCUUCUGAGGAGAACAUGAGCAGUGAAGAUUCACCUUAGAGCUAGAACAGAGACGUGCACAUGAUUAUACAGGGGCAGGGGCUCAAGUUUUUUCCAGUUGUUUAUACAAUAUGGAAAUUAAUGUGAAAUUAAAAAACAAAGUAUUAAUAGAAAGGUAAUGACUGUCCUGUGUAGGUGACAGUGAUAUCCAAUAGGCUAGGCACUCACGAGGCUGGCUGUGGCAAGUGUAAGUGAAAGCAACACGCACUGGCAGGAAGAACAGCAAACGCCGAUGAAGGAAAAGGGUCUUUGCAGUGAUGGGCGUUACCAGAGAGGGCGAUGGCCAGAGGACACAAAUGGGACGGGGAGGCAGCGCGUUGGGGGGGGGACGCGACACAGCUCGGGCCCGCCAGUGCCCCAACGGGGUCCUAGUUAUUAUUAUUUUUCCUCCCCUUUGAACUGGAAAAUGGCCCACUUCCCACUGGCGAAAACUCAUGAAAUUUGGCAGGACGACCGGGCCUGGUGAAAAAUUUGAUAUUCCGAAGUCGCCCAAACAAGAAAAUGCAAAAUGGCUCCAUAGCGCCCCCUAAGGUGAAGAUUCACACUAUUGACUGUCACGCCUGUACGCUUUGUCAAAAUGACACAAAAAUUGACACACACAUGUAUCUCAAUAAGAUCUACAAAAAAGUCAGUGCGGGCGUAUCUGUCAAAUGUACGGUUAAAGGGUUAUUUCGCAUUUUUUGCCGAUCCGCACACAUUGGAAUUUCGCUAACUCCUCCGAAGGCUUUCGUUCCACCGGCACCACAUUUGCUCAGGCCAAUCUACACCCCAUGGCCAUUAAAAGUUAUUCAAAUCAUGACGCUGCACCCCACGGUUUAGGUUCUAGGGGGCGCCAAAGAUAACCCUAAGAUCCACAUAUUUAAAAGUCUUAUAACUUUUUAUUUUUGCCCUCACUGGCCUCCAAGUUUUCUAGGAUGAUGCAAUGUCCAGCCAUCAACACAUUUGUGAAGGAAUUUUUACUCCCCAAAAGAGCGCCCCCCCAUGGCAGGAGAAAAAAGUCCAUUUUUUCUUGUCCCCUAAGGUGAAAAUACACAUUGUUGAGUGUAACACCUGUACGCUUUGGCAAAAUGACACCAAAAUUGAGACACACAUGUAUCUCAAUAAGAUCUACAAAAAAGUCAGUGCGGGCGUAUCUGUCAAAUGUACGGUUAAAGGGUUAUUCCGCAUUUUUUGCCGAUCCGCACACAUUGGAAUUUCGCUAACUCCUCCGAAGGCUUUCGUUCCACCGGCACCACAUUUUCUCAGGCCAAUCUACACCCCAUGGCCAUUAAAAGUUAUUCAAAUCAUGACGCUGCACCCCACGGUUUAGGUUCUAGGGGGCGCCAAAGAUAACCGUAAAAUCCACAUAUUUAAAAGUCUUAUAACUUUUUAUUUUUGUCCCCACUGGCCUCCAAGUUUUCUAGGAUGAUGCAAUGUCCAGCCAUCAACACAUUUGUGAAGGAAUUUUUACUCGCCAAAAGAGCGCCCCCCCAUGGCAGGAGAAAAAAGUCCAUUUUUUCUUGUCCACUAAGGUGAAAAUACACAUUGUUGAGUGCUACGCCUGUAUGUUUUGUCGUAUUGACACAAAAUUUUACAUACACGUGUCUUUCAAUAAGAUCUUCGAAAAAGUCAAUGGCCACGUAUCUGUAAAAUGUACGGUUAAAGGGUUAUUUCGCAUUUUUUGCAGAUUCGCACACAUUGGAAUUUCGCUAACUCCUCCGAAGGCUUUCGUUCCACCGGCACCACAUUUGCUCAGGCCAAUCUACACCCCAUGGCCAUUAAAAGUUAUUCAAAUCAUGACGCUGCACCCCACGGUUUAGGUUCUAGGGGGCGCCAAAGAUAACCCUAAAAUCCACAUAUUUAAAAGUCUUAUAACUUUUUAUUUUUGUCCUCACUGGCCUCCAUGUUUUCUAGGAUGAUGCAAUGUUCAGCCAUCAACACAUUUGUGAAGGAGUUUUUUCUCGUUAAAAGAGCGCCCCCCCAUGGCAGGAGAAUAAAGUCAAGUUUUUCCUGUUCAUCAUUCAAUGGCUCAAACGCACUGCUCUCUCGGCAAAAGCGAAAGGAGGAGCAACUUGCCAUUUGGAUAUAUCUUAGCUGUGUUUGUGCCCUCACUCAUGGUCCAGACUUUUUUCAAAUAGGACAUGGAGUUUUUCUGCAGCGAGCGUUUUGGUAGAAACUGCGCCUCCCGUUCAUUAUGAUGGUAAAUGACCACAAACAAGUGCGCACACCAUCUUUGGACCUUGAGUGUGACGCGAUCGGGUGGGGGAGGCGGUCGCGCUGGGGGCGGUUUGACACGGCUCGGGCCCGCCAGUGCCCCAACGGGGCCCUAGUUAGGGCCCGAGCGUAGCUGCUAAGCAGCUGCGAGAGCCCUCUUGUUCCUGAUGGAUUCUUCUUUCGUUAUUUUUCCUCCGCUUUAAACUGGAAAAUGGCCCACUUCCCACUGACGAAAACUCAGGAAAUUUGGCAGGACGACCGGGCCUGGUGAAAAAUUUGAUAUUCUGAAGUCGCCCAAACAAAAAAAUGAAAAAUGGCUCCAUAGCGCCCCCUAUGGUGAAAACUCACCUGACACCUGUACGCUUUGUCAAAAUGACACAAAAUUUGACACACAUGUGUAUCUCAAUAAGAUCUAUGAAAAAGUCAACGGGCACGUAAGUGUAAAAUGUACUGUUAAAGAGCUAUUUUGCAUUUUUUGCCGAUUCGCACACAUUGGAAUUUUGCUAACUCCUCCUAAGGCUUUCGUUCCACCGGCACCACAUUUGCACAGGCCAAUCUACACCCCAUGGCCAUUAAAAGUUGUACAAAUCAUGACGCUGCACCCCACGGUUUAGGUUCUAGGGGGCGCCAAAGAAAACCCAAAAAUCCACAUUCUUAAAAGUCUUAUAACUUUUUAAUUUUGUCCUCACUGGCCUCCAAGUUUUAUAGGAUGAUGCAAUGUCCAGCCAUCAACACAUUUGUGAAGGAAUUUUUACUCCCCAAAAGAGCGCCCCCAUGGCAGGAGAAAAAAGGCAAUUUUUUCUUGUCCCCUAAGGUGAAAAUACACAUUGUUGAGUGUCACACCUAUACGCUUUGUCAUAUUGACACAAAAUUUGACAAUCACGUGUAUCUCAAUCAGAUCUACGAAAAACUCAAUAGGCACGUAUCUGUAAAAUGUACGGUUAAAGGGCUAUUCCGCAUUUUUUGCCGAUCCGCACACAUUGGAAUGUGGCUAACUCCUCCUAGGGCUUUCGUCCCAUUGGCACCAAAUUUGCUCAGGCAAAUCUACACCCCAUGGCCAUUCAAAGUUGUAAAAAUCAUGACGCUGCACCCCACGGUCUACGUUCUAGGGGGCGCCAAAGAUAACCCAAAAAUCCACAUUCUUAAAAGUCUAAUAACCUUUUAUUUUUGUCCUCACUGGCCUCCAAGUUUUCUAGGAUGAUGCAAUGUCCAGCCAUCAACACAUUUGUGAAGGAAUUUUUUCUCCCCAAAAGAGCGCCCCCCCAUGGCAGGAGAAAAAGUCAAGUUUUUCCUGCCCAUCGCUCAAUGGCUCAAACGCAUCGCUCUCCCGGCAAAACCGAAAGGAGGAGCAACUUGCCAUUUGGAUAUAUACUAGCUGUGUUUGUGCCCUCACUCAUGGUCCAGACUAUUUUCAAAAAGGACAUGGAGUUUGUCUGCAGCGAGCGUUUUGGUAGAAACUGCGCCUCCCAUUCAUUAUAAUGGUAAAUGACCACAGACAAGUGCGCACACCAUCUUUGGACCUUGAGUGUGACGCAAUCGGGAGGGGGAGGCGGUCACGCUGGGGGCGGCGCGACACGGCUCGGGCCCGCCAGUGCCCCACCGGGGCCCUAGUUAUUAUUUUUCCUCCCCUUUGAACUGGAAAAUGGCCCACUUCCCACCCGCGAAAACUCAUGAAAAUUGGCAGGACGACCGGGCCUGGUGAAAAAUUUGAUAUUCCGAAGUCGCCCAAACAAGAAAAUGCAAAAUGGCUCCAUAGCGCCCCCUAAGGUGAAAAUUCACACUAUUGACUGUCACACCUGUACGCUUUGGCAAAAUGACACAAAAAUUGACACACACAUGUAUCUCAAUAAGAUCUACGAAAAAGUCAGUGCGGGCGUAUCUGUCAAAUGUACGGUUAAAGGGUUAUUCCGCAUUUUUUGCCGAUCCGCACACAUUGGAAUUUCGCUAACUCCUCCGAAGGCUUUCGUUCCACCGGCACCACAUUUGCUCAGGCCAAUCUACACCCCAUGGCCAUUAAAAGUUAUUCAAAUCAUGACGCUGCACCCCAAGGUUUAGGUUCUAGGGGGCGCCAAAGAUAACCCUAAGAUCCACAUAUUUAAAAGUCGUAUAACUUUUUAUUUUUGCCCUCACUGGCCUCCAAGUUUUCUAGGAUGAUGCAAUGUCCAGCCAUCAACACAUUUGUGAAGGAAUUUUUACUCCCCAAAAGAGCGCCCCCCCAUGGCAGGAGAAAAAAGUCCAUUUUUUCUUGUCCCCUAAGGUGAAAAUACACAUUGUUGAGUGUAACACCUGUACGCUUUGGCAAAAUGACACAAAAAUUGACACACACAUGUAUCUCAAUAAGAUCUACGAAAAAGUCAAUGCGCGCGUAUCUGUCAAAUGUACGGUUAAAGGGUUAUUCCGCAUUUUUUGCCGAUCCGCACACAUUGGAAUUUCGCUAACUCCUCCGAAGGCUUUCGUUCCACCGGCACCACAUUUGCUCAGGCCAAUCUACACCCCAUGGCCAUUAAAAGUUAUUCAAAUCAUGACGCUGCACCCCAAGGUUUAGGUUCUAGGGGGCGCCAAAGAUAACCCUAAGAUCCACAUAUUUAAAAGUCUUAUAACUUUUUAUUUUUGCCCUCACUGGCCUCCAAGUUUUCUAGGAUGAUGCAAUGUCCAGCCAUCAACACAUUUGUGAAGGAAUUUUUACUCCCCAAAAGAGCGCCCCCCCAUGGCAGGAGAAAAAAGUCCAUUUUUUCUUGUCCCCUAAGGUGAAAAUACACAUUGUUGAGUGUAACACCUGUACGCUUUGGCAAAAUGACACAAAAAUUGACACACACAUGUAUCUCAAUAAGAUCUACGAAAAAGUCAAUGCGCGCGUAUCUGUCAAAUGUACGGUUAAAGGGUUAUUCCGCAUUUUUUGCCGAUCCGCACACAUUGGAAUUUCGCUAACUCCUCCGAAGGCUUUCGUUCCACCGGCACCACAUUUGCUCAGGCCAAUCUACACCCCAUGGCCAUUAAAAGUUAUUCAAAUCAUGACGCUGCAUCCCACGGUUUAGGUUCUAGGGGGCGCCAAAGAUAACCCUAAAAUCCACAUAUUUCAAAGUCUUAUAACAUUUUAUUUUUGUCCUCACUGGCCUCCAAGUUUUCUAGGAUGAUGCAAUGUCCAGCCAUCAACACAUUUGUGAAGGAAUUUUUACUCCCCAAAAGAGCGCCCCCCCAUGGCAGGAGAAAAAAGUCAAUUUUUUCUUGUCCCCUAAGGUGGAAAUUCACACUAUUGACUGUCACGCCUGUACGCUUUAUCAUAUUGACACAAAAAUUGACACACAUAUGUAUCUCAAUAAGAUCUACAAAAAAGUCAAUUCGCGCGUAUCUGUCAAAUGUACGGUUAAAGGGCUAUUUUGCAUUUUUUGCCGAUUCGCACACAUUGGAAUGUGGCUAACUCCUCCUAAGGCUUUCGUCCCACUGACACCAAAUUUGCUCAGGCCAAUCUACACCCCAUGGCCAUUCAAAGUUGUAAAAAUCAUGACGCUGCACCCCACGGUUUACGUUCUAGGGGGCGCCAAAGAUGACCCAAAAAUCCACAUUCUUAAAAGAAUCCACAUCCCCCCCCCUAUGGCAGGAGAAAAAGUCAAGUUUUUCCUGCCCAUCGCUCAAUGGCUCAAUCGCAUCGCUCUCCAGGCAACACCGUAAGGAGGAGCAACCUGGCAUUUCGAUAUAUCAUAGCUGUGUUUGUGCCCUCACUCAUGGUCCAGACUUUUUUCAAAUAGGACAUGAAGUUUGUCUGCAGCGAGUGUUUUGGUAGAAACUGCGCCUCCCAUUCAUUAUAAUGGGAAAUGACCACAGACAAGUGCGCACACCAUCUUUGGUUCUUGAGUGUGACUCGAUCGGGACGGGGAGGCGGUCGCACUGGGGGCGGCGCGACGCGGCUCGGGCCCAACAGUGCCCCACCGGGGCCCUAGUUUCUUUUUCCUCCCCUUUGAACUGGAAAAUGGCCCACUUCCCACUGGCGAAAACUCAUGAAAUUUGGCAGGACGACCGGGCCUGGUGAAAAAUUUGAUAUUCUGAAGUCGCCCAAACAAUACAAUGCAAAAUGGCUCCAUAGCGCCCCCUAAGGUGAAAAAUUCACCUGACGCCUGUACGCUUUGUCAAAAUGACAGAAAAAUUGACACACACAUGUAUCUCAAUAAGAUCUACAAAAAAGUCAGUGCGGGCGUAUUUGUCAAAUGUACGGUUAAAGGGUUAUUUCGCAUUUUUUGCCGAUCUGCACACAUUGGAAUUUCGCUAACUCCUCCUAAGGCUUUCAUUCCACCGGCACCACAUUUGCUCAGGCCAAUCUACACCCCAUGGCCAUUAAAAGUUAUUCAAAUCAUGACGCUGCACCCCACGGUUUACGUUCUAGGGGGCGCCAAAAAUAACCCUAAAAUCCACAUAUUUAAAAGUCUUAUAACUUUUUAUUUUUGUCCUCACUGGCCUCCAAGUUUUCUAGGAUGAUGCAAUGUCCAGCCAUCAACACAUUUGUGAAGGAAUUUUUACUCUCCAAAAGAGCGCCCCCCCCCCA
rnacentral:lncRNA from 1 species